AUUGAACGCUGGCGGCAGGCCUAACACAUGCAAGUCGAACGGUAACAGGAAGAAGCUUGCUUCUUUGCUGACGAGUGGCGGACGGGUGAGUAAUGUCUGGGAAACUGCCUGAUGGAGGGGGAUAACUACUGGAAACGGUAGCUAAUACCGCAUAACGUCGCAAGACCAAAGAGGGGGACCUUCUGGCCCCUUGCCAUCUGAUGUGCCCAGAUGGGAUUAGCUAGUAGGUGGGGUAACGGCUCACCUAGGCGACGAUCCCUAGCUGGUCUGAGAGGAUGACCAGCCACACUGGAACUGAGACACGGUCCAGACUCCUACGGGAGGCAGCAGUGGGGAAUAUUGCACAAAGGGCGCAAGCCUGAUGCAGCCAUGCCGCGUGUAUGAAGAAGGCCUUCGGGUUGUAAAGUACUUUUAGCGGGGAGGAAGGGAGUAAAGUUAAUACCUUUACUCAUUGACGUUACCCGCAGAAGAAGCACCGGCUAACUCCGUG
rnacentral:rRNA from 1 species